UUUUCGGUUUGAACUCAGAUCAUGUGCGGGGUAGAGGUCGAACAGACCUUGUGAAAAUAGCUUCUGCACUAUUUGUAGCCGCAAUUCAACAUCGAGGUCGCAAACAAUUAUUUUAAUAAGGGCUUAAAUAAUUAUAACGCUGUUAUCCCUAGAGUACCUUAUUCGUCUAAUUUAAUAAAGAUCAUUGUUAAUAUAAAUAGUCCU
rnacentral:rRNA from 1 species